AACCUACCUAUCAGAGGGGAAUAACCCGGCGAAAGUCGGACUAAUACCGCAUAAAACAGGGGCACCGCAUGGUGAUAUUUGUUAAAGAAAUUCGCUGAUAGAUGGGCAUGCGUUCCAUUAGGUAGUUGGUGAGGUAACGGCUCACCAAGCCGACGAUGGAUAGGGGAACUGAGAGGUUGGUCCCCCACACUGGUACUGAGACACGGACCAGACUCCUACGGGAGGCAGCAGUGAGGAAUAUUGGUCAAUGGGCGGGAGCCUGAACCAGCCAAGUCGCGUGAAGGAAGAAGGAUCUAUGGUUCGUAAACUUCUUUUGCAGGGGAAUAAAGUGCAGGACGUGUCCUGUUUUGUAUGUACCCUGAGAAUAAGGAUCGGCUAACUCCGUGCCAGCAGCCGCGGUAAUACGGAGGAUCCGAGCGUUAUCCGGAUUUAUUGGGUUUAAAGGGUGCGUAGGUGGUUUGAUAAGUCAGCGGUGAAAGUUUGCAGCUUAACUGUAAAAAUGCCGUUGAAACUGUCGGACUUGAGUGUAAAUGAGGUAGGCGGAAUGCGUGGUGUAGCGGUGAAAUGCAUAGAUAUCACGAAGAACUCCGAUUG
rnacentral:rRNA from 1 species